rnacentral:rRNA from 1 species
CCUACGGGAGGCUGCAGUGGGGAAUUUUGGACAAUGGGGGCAACCCUGAUCCAGCCAUUCCGCGUGAGUGAAGAAGGCCUUCGGGUUGUAAAGCUCUUUCGCAAGGGAAGAAAACUUACUCAAUAACACUGGGUGAGGCUGACGGUACCUUGAUAAGCAGCACCGGCUAACUACGUGCCAGCAGCCGCGGUAAUACGUAGGGUGAGUGCGUUAAUCGGAGUUACUGCGCGUGAUUUUGGCGCUCAGAUGUGAAAUCACCGGGCUCAACCUGGGAACUGCGGUUGAAACUACAAGGCUAGAGUAUGGCAGAGGGGGGUAGAAUUCCACGUGUAGCAGUGAAAUGCGUAGAGAUGUGGAGGAAUACCAAUGGCGAAGGCAGCCCCCUGGGUCAAUACUGACGCUCAUGCACGAAAGCGUGGGGAGCAAACAGGAUUAGAUACCCCAGUAGUC